rnacentral:rRNA from 1 species
UUUACUAGAAUAUAGUUAUCCUACUUGGAUAACUGUGGCAAUUCUAGAGCUAAUACAUGCAAAAAAGCUCUGCCCGCAAGGAACGAGCGCAUUUAUUAGAAUAAAAACCAAUCGGGUUUCGGCCCGUAAUUUGGUGAAUCUGAAUAACUUUGCCAAUCGCACAGUCCUAGUACUGGCGAUGUAUCUUUCAAGUGUCUGCCUUAUCAACUUUCGAUGGUAGGUUAUACGCCUACCAUGGUAGUAACGGGUAACGGAGAAUAAGGGUUCGACUCCGGAGAGGGAGCCUGAGAAACGGCUACCACAUCCAAGGAAGGCAGCAGGCGCGCAAAUUACCCACUUCCAGAACGGAGAGGUAGUGACGAAAAAUAACGAGACAGUCCUCUUCGAGGUCUGUCAUCGGAAUGGGUACAAUUUAAAUCCUUUAACGAGGAUCUAUUGGAGGGCAAGUCUGGUGCCAGCAGCCGCGGUAAUUCCAGCUCCAAUAGCGUAUAUUAAAGUUGUUGCGGUUAAAACGCUCGUAGUUGGAUCUGCGGCCUCGGAGAACGGUCCCCCGAAAGGGCGGUCACUGUCUCUCCUAGCCUAAAUUCAAGUCGUCUCUAGGUGCUCUUUACCGAGUGCUUAGAGUGACUAGAACGUUUACUUUGAAAAAAUUAGAGUGCUUAAAGCAGGCGAAAUAGCCUGAAUAAGGUGCAUGGAAUAAUGGAAUAGGACCUCGGUUCUAUUUUGUUGGUUUUCGGAACCUGAGGUAAUGAUUAAGAGGAACAGACGGGGGCAU